CCUCAGCGAGAGAAGCCUCACUUGGAACUGCUUCUUAUAACGCGUAUCUCUGGGCAGUCUCAUCUGAAGAAAGAGUUCUGCAGCUUUGAAUCAUUUGGAAGCUCCCAGGCUGGACAAUCUCCAAAGUCCCCCAGGCUGCAACACGCCACAGGUCUGUGCACACAGACAAGUGAAACUGUGUCAACGAAACGUACUCCCCCUCCUAGGCCUGGCAUUUGAAAACCACUAGACUACUCCACUGUGAGCAUGAAAUUCGACAGAGAAGCCCAAGAUGCUACAAGCAGUGUGUGGUGUCAGAGCGCUACAUAGGGAGCACCCGGCGUGUGCAACUCUGCACGGUCUUCUUGGUUUGAACGCCCACCAGAAAGUGACUGGAUUUUCCAAAAGAAGAAAACUCCCAGCCUUCACCAUGCUUUGAGUAGAUGCAACUGAUUUUCUUAUAUUGAUCCUGUAUCUUGCAGCCUUGCUAAACUUGUGUGUUAGCAAUAAUAGUUUUUUGUGGCUUCUUCGGGAUUUUCUGUAUAUAUGAUCAUGUCAUAUGCAAAUGAGAGUCUCAUUUCUUCCCUUCCCGUCUGAGUGCUUUGAUUUCUUUUUCUUGCUUAAUUGCCAUAGCUGAAACCUCCAGUACAAUGUUGCUUAGAAGUGGCAAGAAGAGACAUCCUUGUUUUUUUCCUGUUCUUAGAGGAAAAGCUUUCCGUCAUUCACUAUUAAGUAUGGUGUCAGCUAUGGGUUUUUCAUCGAUGACCUUUAUCAGGUUGAGGAAAUUCUCUUCUAAUUGUUGAGUGUUUUUAGUAUGAAAGAAUUUUAGGUUUUGUCAAAUGCUUUUUCCGCAUCUCUUGAGAUGAUCUUUUAUUUCACUAAUAUGGUGCAUUGCAUUGACUGAUUUUUGUAUACUGAACGAACUUUGCAUUCCUGACAUAAAUCUUGUUUACUCCUGAUGUAUAAUCCUUCUGAUAUGCUGAUGGAUUCAGUUUGCUAGUAUUUUGUUGAGGAUUUUUGCAUCUUUGUAAGGGAUAUUGGUCUGCAGUUUUCUUCCCUUGUGAUAUCUUUGUCUGGUUUUGGUUUUAAGAUAAUACUGGCCUCAUAAAAUAAGUUAGGAAGUGUUCUUUGGGGAGAUACUGAAGCAAGAAACAAUGGACAGAAACAACAGAAAGAUCUCAAAAUAAGACAGAAAAAUAAAGAGAAGCUGUGCCUUAUUAAACAAAUAACUGGCAGCAGGCAUUUUGUAGACUAAACAAAUGUAUUUUCAGAAAAUAAGCACUUUACACAAUUAGUAGAUACAAGAUACAAGCUAGACACAAGGAAAUAACCACUGUAGCACAGAAAAUGACUGAGAUUUCAGAAAUGACCUGAUGGCUAAUUCCUAGUGGAGAAAAGCUGAAGUUUAAUAUUAAAACUUCAUGACAGAUUAUUCAUUAUUUGUGGAAUAUAAUUAUGCUCAAGUUAACUGUACAGAAAAAAAUGUGUAAAGUUUUCAUUUCAUAGUCACAGUUCAGCUGUUUUCAAUCAAUCUUUGUGGCAGAAAUUGCUAAUUGUUCCCCAUUAUCUUGUCCCUUUUUCUUUUUCAGUAAUAGAAAAAUUUAGCUGGACACAUAAUUAUGCUUCCAUUUCUUAGCCAUCCUUGCAUCUAGGUGUGGCCACGUGACUAGGUUCUUCAUAGGAAGUGAGAGAAGGCCAUGUGCAAUUUAUGGGUGAUACCCUUAAAAGAUGGGAAUAUUCUCUUCCUUCUUCCCUAUUGCUGUUUGUUGGAACCUGGAAGUCACAAUGGAAGUCAGAGCAGCCUUCGAAGACCACAAGAUGGAAGUCGUGGAUGAGCAUGGUGGAGCAAGAAGGGGCCCAGGUCCCCAACAUCAUUGAUUUUCUUGAAUCCUUUCACUCAGACCAUUAAGUAAGAGAAAUACAUUUCCAUCUUGCUUGACACACUCCUAUUUUGGCCUUUGUUACAGUAGCCAAAUUAGUAUCCUAACUAGUAGGAUACUACUAAAUCUUUGUCUAAAAUUUCAGGUUAAAAAAAACAAAAACCUCAAGAUAUUAUGGAACACAUAUUUUUCCUGAAAAGGCUGCAGCUUUCAAUUAUAGUCAAGAUUUUGGUACUGCAAAUUUACAAAAAGACCGGAUAAGUGAUAUCCUUUAAGGAAAGUUGUCUAACUAGGGCUUUUUUUUCCAGCCACUUAUUUCCCUCUUUUCAGUCCUUCUGAAACAGACUUCAGUCAAGUCUUUUCUCCCCAUCCCGCCACCACAACUGCUUUUAUCAGGGUAAACAGUGACCCCCAUGUCAUGAAAUUCUGCAGUUAAUUCUCAGCCCUCAUUGUACUCCACCUGUCGGUAUCUGAUGCAUUUGUGUAUUUUCUCCUCUUUGAAACACUUCGCUUAGUUUACAAAACACCUCACUCUCCUGAAUUUCCUCCAUCCUUGCUAGCUGUCUUUUUCGGUCUCUUCCUCUCUCUCCUACCAUAUAUUGUUAGAAUGUGCCUCAUCGUUGGAAAUCUCUUCUGUAUCUACAUUCACUUCCUUGAAGAUCCUUUACAGUCUCAUGUUUCAAAUACCAUAUAUAUACUGCAACUCCCAGAUUUUGUCUCCAGCCUACUAGAGUGUAAAUCCUAGGAGCAUAGGAGUCCUUGUCUGCUUCUUUCCUGGUGCAUUGUCAGUGCCUAAAACUGGACCUACCAUGUAUCAGUGUAGCAAAUAAAUAUUUGUUGAAUGAAUGAAU
rnacentral:lncRNA from 1 species